rnacentral:rRNA from 1 species
UACGUAGGGUGCAGGCGUUAAUCGGAAUUACUGGGCGUAAAGCGUGCGUAGGCGGUUUCUUAAGUCUGUUGUGAAAGCCCCGGGCUUAACCUGGGAACUGCGUUUGAAACUGGGAGACUUGAGUGUGGCAGAGGGGGGUGGAAUUCCUCGUGUAGCAGUGAAAUGCGUAGAUAUGUGGAGGAACACCGAUGGCGAAGGCAGCCACCUGGACGGGCACUGACGCUGAGGAGCGAAAGCGUGGGGAGCGAACAGG